rnacentral:rRNA from 1 species
GAUGAACGCUGGCGGCGUGCCUAAUACAUGCAAGUCGAGCGAACAGACGAGGAGCUUGCUCCUCUGACGUUAGCGGCGGACGGGUGAGUACACGUGGAUAACCUACCUAUAAGACUGGGAUAACUUCGGGAAACCGGAGCUAAUACCGGAUAACAUGUUGAACCGCAUGGUUCAACAGUGAAAGACGGUCUUGCUGUCACUUAUAGAUGGAUCCGCGCCGCAUUAGCUAGUUGGUAAGGUAACGGCUUACCAAGGCAACGAUGCGUAGCCGACCUGAGAGGGUGAUCGGCCACACUGGAACUGAGACACGGUCCAGACUCCUACGGGAGGCAGCAGUAGGGAAUCUUCCGCAAUGGGCGAAAGCCUGACGGAGCAACGCCGCGUGAGUGAAGAAGGUCUUCGGAUCGUAAAACUCUGUUAUUAGGGAGGAACAAAUGUGUAAGUAACUAUGCACGUCUUGACGGUACCUAAUCAGAAAGCCACGGCUAACUACGUG